CAUGCAAGUCGAACGAGAAUCUACUGAAAGAGUUUUCGGACGAUGGAAGUAGAGGAAAGUGGCGGACGGGUGAGUAACGCGUGAGGAACCUGCCUUGAAGAGGGGGACAACAGUUGGAAACGACUGCUAAUACCGCAUGAAGCAUAGGGGUCGCAUGAUUCUUAUGCCAAAGAUUUAUCGCUUCAAGAUGGCCUCGCGUCUGAUUAGCUAGUUGGCGGGGUAAUGGCCCACCAAGGCGACGAUCAGUAGCCGGACUGAGAGGUUGAACGGCCACAUUGGGACUGAGAUACGGCCCAGACUCCUACGGGAGGCAGCAGUGGGGAAUAUUGGGCAAUGGGCGCAAGCCUGACCCAGCAACGCCGCGUGAAGGAAGAAGGCUUUCGGGUUGUAAACUUCUUUUAAGAGGGAAGAGCAGAAGACGGUACCUCUAGAAUAAGCCACGGCUAACUACGUGCCAGCAGCCGCGGUAAUACGUAGGUGGCAAGCGUUGUCCGGAUUUACUGGGUGUAAAGGGCGUGCAGCCGGGUCUGCAAGUCAGAUGUGAAAUCCAUGGGCUCAACCCAUGAACUGCAUUUGAAACUGUAGAUCUUGAGUGUCGGAGGGGCAAUCGGAAUUCCUAGUGUAGCGGUGAAAUGCGUAGAUAUUAGGAGGAACACCAGUGGCGAAGGCGGAUUGCUGGACGAUAACUGACGGUGAGGCGCGAAAGUGUGGGGAGCAAACAGGAUUAGAUACCCUGGUAGUCCACACUGUAAACGAUGAAUACUAGGUGUGCGGGGACUGACCCCCUGCGUGCCGCAGUAAACACAAUAAGUAUUCCACCUGGGGAGUACGAUCGCAAGGUUGAAACUCAAAGGAAUUGACGGGGGCCCGCACAAGCGGUGGAUUAUGUGGUUUAAUUCGAAGCAACGCGAA
rnacentral:rRNA from 1 species